AUGACAGAUAUUUUAGAUUCUCAAAAUGUAUGUAUAUUGAAUGAUGGGACUCCAACUCGACGCACUCGCCCUGGUGAAGGCCCUAGUGCUCCAGACUUGUCACUUUGCUCUCCAAGUUUAGCCUCUCUGAUAUCCUGGAGUGUACUUGACCACACUUAUGGCAGUGAUCAUGCACCUAUUGUACUUACUUUACCUAUCUCUAGCCCUUAUUCUAAUCUACAAUAUAGUUCUAAACUAAAGCAUAAACUGCCAGAUAACUGGAAUACAUUUAAACAUUAUGUUGAUCAAAAGAUAUCUAGUCUUCCUAUUGUUAAUGGUGGUAAUGAAACAAUAUGUUCAAAUGAGUUUACUAAAAUUUUAAUUGAUGCUGCUAACACUUUAUUUCCAUUAAAAGGUAAUAGACAGGGUAAAAUUCCAUUUCCUCCUUGGUGGGAUCAUGAGUGCACUAUAGCCAUCAAGCAACGGAAAGAGGCUGAAAAAAAAUAUUGUUCUGUGAUGACUGCAGAGAACUUUGAAAUAUAUACCCAAAUAGCUCGUUCAACUAGCAAGCUUCUCAAAAAGAAGAAAUUUGAGGGUUGGAGACGAUUUUGCGAAUCCAUAAGUCCAGAUAUUUGCCCAUCGUUAGUUUGGAGAAAUAUUAGAAGAUUUAAGUCGGCUUUCUAUUCAUCUUCAUCAGGUACCUUACCAAUUGAGCUAGCCGAUCAAUUUAUAGACAAGUUGGCUCCUCCAUAUGUUCCAAACUUUAAUAAUGCCCAGUGCUGUAUUCCUUACUCUGUACCAUGUAGUCAUACAGACCUUAAUGCCCCCUUUAGUUUAUCCGAACUGAAAGGGGUGUUGUCUUAUGUAAAAGACUCAUCUCCAGGCGAAGACGGUAUUACAUACUCAUUCUUGAUUAACUGCAAUGACGCUUCUUUGAACUAUUAUUUGUGUGUUAUUAAUGCUAUUAUGUUGUCUGGUAACAUUCCUUCUUCUUGGAAAACACAAAUCAUAGUUCCCAUAUUAAAACCUAAUAAACCAGCCUCUGAUGUUUCUUCUUUUCGUCCAAUUGCCCUCUCUUCUGUUCUUGCCAAAUUAGUUGAGCAUCUUGUUAAAAAUAGGUUAGAAUUUUUCGUUGAACAUAAUAAUAUUUUGACAGCCAAUCAGCUGGGAUUUAGAAAAGGUCGUAGCACCACAGACAAUAUUAGUAUACUUGUUUCGGAUAUUAGGUUAGGAUUCUCGAAGAAUGAGGCAGUUCUUGCGGCCUUUCUUGACAUUAGCUCAGCGUACGAUAAUGUGUUGAUCUCCGUCUUACACAAUAAAUUACAUGACCUCCAUGUUCCCCAAAUAUUAAUCAAAUUUAUCAUCAAUAUGCUUUCUGAGAGAUGUAUUAAAUUAGACCUACACAAUGGUACUCAACUUUCAAGGCUGGUAUGGAGAGGCCUACCGCAGGGGUCGGUCCUUAGUCCAUUGCUGUAUAAUGUAUAUACUUGUGACUUAGAGAUAUUUUUAAACACAAACGUAAACGUCUUGCAAUACGCAGAUGAUCUCCUACUAUAUAUCUCGGACAAGUGUAUACAAAAUGCAAGUAAAUAUUUAUCGUCUUCCCUUUUUAAAUUAAAUAAAUGGUUAAAUCUCAAUGGUCUGGAAUUAUCGGUUACUAAAAGUACUGUGGUUUUAUUUUCUAGAAAGAGAAUCAUUCCUGAGUUUAACGUACUUUAUAUGGAUAAUCCUAUCCCUGUAAAAUCUGAGGUAAAAUUCUUGGGAGUUAUUUUAGACUCCAAACUUACCGGAGUACCUCACUGUAACUAUAUUGUAACUAAAUGUGAAAGAAACCUAAAUAUGAUCAGGUGUCUAACUGGUGUCUGGUGGGGUGCUCAUCCUGCAUCCUUACGUCUUAUUUAUAAUGCCUUAAUUCGUAGCUUGCUAGAUUACGCCACUUUUGUUCUACAGCCAUGUAGUGCCGUAGCUCUUAAUAAAUUAGAUUGCGUACAAGCCAAAGCUUUAAGGAUCAUCCUUGGAGCUAUGAAAUCUAGCCCUAUCAAUGCUAUGCAAAUAGAGUGUGUUGAACCACCUUUAUGUUUAAGACGACAAUUUCUAUCUGAUAGGUAUAUAUUUAAAGCUAUGCAAUUUUCAUAUCAUCCUUUACGUAAUAAACUCCAACUCCUUCUGGAAUUUACAGACACUUGUUCGUAUUGGUCCCAUAAAUCUCCCCCGUGUCUUAUCAAAAGCUAUCGAAUAUUUUGCUCCAUACAAGCGCCAAUGUAUAGUACAUAUUGUUACCCUACUUUCGGUAUUAAAUAUAAUGCAUUAAUAACCUCUCCGGAUGUUAGAAUCAAUCCAGAUAUUCCAAGAAAUCAAUUUGAAGCUCCUCUGUUUGUAAACAUAUUAAAAGAAAAUGAAUUUAAUGAUUAUCAUUAUAUAUAUAGUGAUGCUUCUAAGCAUGCAUCAGAUGGUAUAGUAGGAGUUGGAGUUUUUCAUUCUCAAUAUAAUAUUGUUCAGAAAAUAAAACUUCCACCUGAAUCAUCUGUAUUUACUGGAGAAUGCCUUGGUUUGUUUAAAUCUGUUGAAUAUAUUCUUCUUGCUAAACUUAAGAAAUCCAUUAUAUUUACGGACUCUAUGAGUGCUCUGCAAGCUCUAUCUAGAUGUCCUUUUAAGUCUGCUCAAAUUCAUCAUAUUAUUUUAAAAAUUAGAACACUUCUACUUACAUGUAAUGAAAAAGGCUAUUCAGUGGUGUUUUCCUGGGUACCAGGUCACUCAGGCAUUCCUGGAAAUGAACGUGCUGAUCAGCUUGCCAAUGAGGCUAUUUCAUGCGGAGAUAUGGCAGACUAUUGUAACUACGCCUAUGAUUUGUGUACACUGACAAAACGUUCCCUUCAGGAGUCCUGGAAAGUGGCUUGGUCAAUUUCCAGCCAAUCGAGGGGCAAAGCCUUUGCUAGGAUACAAAACUUUAUACCGACAAAGCCAUGGUUCUCAAGUAUAAAAUUGAGCAGGAGGGUAACGUGUAUCUUGACGCGUAUGCGUUUGGGCCACGUUUGCUCUCCUGUUCAACUUGCGAAAUUUGGAAUUGUGAGCAGUGAUUUGUGCGAGUGUGGUGAAGUGGGUGACCUUAAUCACAUAUUUUUAUCAUGUCCAAAAUUUAAUCGAGAAUCAUUUUACAAGGACCUUAUUCUUUUCCACAUCCCACUUCCUACUUCCGUUGACAUCCUCUUGUCCUAUGAUAAACCUUGUAUAUAUAAACUUUUUUCCUCUUUUAUCCUAAGUAAUGAUAUUAAGUUGUAAAUACUUUUAGAUGUACAAUUUUUUAUGUAAAUAUAUGUUUUAUUGUAUUGAAAAUAAUUGAUUAGUAUUUAAUUGUAAAUAUUCGGUAUAAGUAUUCUAUUUUAUAUUAUUUCCUAUCCUUUUCUGAUCCUUUCUAAAAUUCCCGUACCUUCAAAAUUUUGAGUUUUAUAAUUAAACAAGUUUCCUCGUUUUAAAUAACAAAAAAAAAAAAAAAAAAAAAGCACUUGAUACUGGCUCAAUCGCUCGACGCGCGGAGCCAUAGAACCAAGAAGAAGAAGAAGACCUUCCAUUUUCAUUUUCCACUUCAAGUUCCAUUCCAGCCAGUUUUCAAUUUCCAUGGUCCCAUCCCGACUCCCCAUUUCUUUUGAACUUUUUACUUUGCUUUUGAAGUUGAGUAUUUUUUGAAGUGCGUAUUUUUCGCGGUUUCAACUUAAUAUGUGAAGUUGUUUUAUGGUGAAAGAAAUCAGAAAUAGUUCUACUUUUUCAAUAAAUACCUGUUUUAUUCUUUAUUUUAUUAUUUAUUUUAUCCGGUUGUUCAAUGCAGGCGGCAAUCGCCAAGUUUGUGAACUCAUUGCCUUUGAGUUGCUCGCAGUGCAUAACAAAAUUCUAUUUUCGAUGCGCCGGCGCCGGGUCCAUUGGGUGUCAAAAAGAAAUACUCCGAGCAAAGCGAUGAAGAAUGUGAUCAAGUAGGG